AAGUAACGAUAAAGCGGGUGAAAAGCCCGCUCGCCGGAAGACCAAGGGUUCCUGUCCAACGUUAAUCGGGGCAGGGUGAGUCGACCCCUAAGGCGAGGCCGAAAGGCGUAGUCGAUGGGAAACGGGUUAAUAUUCCCGUACUUGGUGUUACUGCGAAGGGGGGACGGAGAAGGCUAUGUUGGCCGGGCGACGGUUGUCCCGGUUUAAGCGUGUAGGUGUGUGUUCCAGGUAAAUCCGGUUCACUUUAACACUGAGGCGUGACGACGAGGCACUACGGUGCUGAAGCAACAAAUGCCCUGCUUCCAGGAAAAGCCUCUAAGCAUCAGGUAACAUCAAAUCGUACCCCAAACCGACACAGGUGGUCAGGUAGAGAAUACCAAGGCGCUUGAGAGAACUCGGGUGAAGGAACUAGGCAAAAUGGUGCCGUAACUUCGGGAGAAGGCACGCUGACACGUAGGUGAAGUGAUUUACUCAUGGAGCUGAAGUCAGUCGAAGAUACCAGCUGGCUGCAACUGUUUAUUAAAAACACAGCACUGUGCAAACACGAAAGUGGACGUAUACGGUGUGACGCCUGCCCGGUGCCGGAAGGUUAAUUGAUGGGGUCAGCGCAAGCGAAGCUCCUGAUCGAAGCCCCGGUAAACGGCGGCCGUAACUAUAACGGUCCUAAGGUAGCGAAAUUCCUUGUCGGGUAAGUUCCGACCUGCACGAAUGGCGUAAUGAUGGCCAGGCUGUCUCCACCCGAGACUCAGUGAAAUUGAACUCGCUGUGAAGAUGCAGUGUACCCGCGGCAAGACGGAAAGACCCCGUGAACCUUUACUAUAGCUUGACACUGAACAUUGAGCCUUGAUGUGUAGGAUAGGUGGGAGGCUUUGAAGUGUGGACGCCAGUCUGCAUGGAGCCGACCUUGAAAUACCACCCUUUAAUGUUUGAUGUUCUAACGUGGACCCGUUACCCGGGUUGCGGACAGUGUCUGGUGGGUAGUUUGACUGGGGCGGUCUCCUCCUAAAGAGUAACGGAGGAGCACGAAGGUUGGCUAAUCCUGGUCGGACAUCAGGAGGUUAGUGCAAUGGCAUAAGCCAGCUUGACUGCGAGCGUGACGGCGCGAGCAGGUGCGAAAGCAGGUCAUAGUGAUCCGGUGGUUCUGAAUGGAAGGGCCAUCGCUCAACGGAUAAAAGGUACUCCGGGGAUAACAGGCUGAUACCGCCCAAGAGUUCAUAUCGACGGCGGUGUUUGGCACCUCGAUGUCGGCUCAUCACAUCCUGGGGCUGAAGUAGGUCCCAAGGGUAUGGCUGUUCGCCAUUUAAAGUGGUACGCGAGCUGGGUUUAGAACGUCGUGAGACAGUUCGGUCCCUAUCUGCCGUGGGCGCUGGAGAACUGAGGGGGGCUGCUCCUAGUACGAGAGGACCGGAGUGGACGCAUCACUGGUGUUCGGGUUGUCAUGCCAAUGGCACUGCCCGGUAGCUAAAUGCGGAAGAGAUAAGUGCUGAAAGCAUCUAAGCACGAAACUUGCCCCGA
rnacentral:rRNA from 1 species